GUUUGAUUCUGGCUCAGGAUGAACGCUGGCGGCAUGCCUAAUACAUGCAAGUCGAACGGAGUGAAGCCUUCGGGUUUCAUUCAGUGGCGAACGGGUGAGUAAUACGCAGGGAACCUGGCCAUGGCAGGGGGAUACACUCUGGAAACGGAGCAUAAGACCCCAUAGGCAGUAAGGCGGCAUCGCCUUGCUGUUAAAGAAAGCUGAAAGGCUUUGGCGAUGGAUGGACCUGCGGUGCAUUAGCUUGUUGGUGAGGCAACGGCUUACCAAGGCGAUGAUGCAUAGCCGGCCUGAGAGGGCGGACGGCCACACUGGGACUGAGACACGGCCCAGACUUCUGCGGGAGGCAGCAGUAGGGAAUUUUCGUCAAUGGGCGCAAGCCUGAACGAGCAAUGCCGCGUGAGUGAGGAAGGUCUUCGGACUGUAAAGCUCUGUUGCCGGGGAAAAAGGGGAAAUGCAGGAAAUGGCAUUUCAUGGAUGGUACCCGGCCAGAAAGCCACGGCUAACUACGUGCCAGCAGCCGCGGUAAUACGUAGGUGGCGAGCGUUAUCCGGAAUGAUUGGGCGUAAAGGGUGCGCAGGCGGUCUGUUAAGUCUGAAGGCAAAGGGAUGAGCUCAACUCAUUUAUGAUUCAGAAACUGGCAGACUUGAGGACAGGAGAGGGCGGUGGAACUCCAUGUGUAGCGGUAAAAUGCGCAGAGAUAUGGAAGAACACCAGUGGCGAAGGCGGCCGCCUGGCCUGUGACUGACGCUGAGGCACGAAAGCGUGGGGAGCAAAUAGGAUUAGAUACCCUAGUAGUCCACGCCGUAAACGAUGAGGAGCAGGUGUUGGGAGUGAAAUCUCAGUGCCGAAGCCAACGCAGUGACUCCUCCGCCUGGGGAGUAUGCACGCAAGUGUGAAACUCAAAGGAAUUGACGGGGGCCCGCACAAGCGGUGGAGUAUGUGGUUUAAUUCGAAGCAACGCGAAGAACCUUACCAGGUUUUGACAUCGGAUGCGAAGGCGCAGAGAUGCGCUGGAGGCUAUCAUCCAGACAGGUGGUGCAUGGUUGUCGUCAGCUCGUGUCGUGAGAUGUUCAGUUAAGUCUGGCAACGAGCGCAACCCCCGUGGUAUGUUACUAACGCAUUUGGGCGAGGACUCAUAUCAGACUGCCGGUGACAAACCGGAGGAAGGCGGGGAUGACGUCAAAUCAUCAUGCCCCUUAUGGCCUGGGCUACACACGUACUACAAUGGCGUCUACAGAGGGAAGCGACCCUGAGAAGGGAAGCGAAACCGGAAAAGGGCGUCCCAGUUCGGAUUGAAGUCUGCAACCCGACUUCAUGAAGAUGGAAUCGCUAGUAAUCGCGGAUCAGCAUGCCGCGGUGAAUACGUUCCCGGGCCUUGUACACACCGCCCGUCAAACCAUGGAAGCCGGCAACGCCCGAAGCCGGUGGCAUAACCUUUUAGGAGUGAGCCGUCGAAGGCGGGGCCGAUGACUGGGGUUUUGUCGUAACAAGGUAUCC
rnacentral:rRNA from 1 species